rnacentral:lncRNA from 10 species
AUUUAUUAUUAUUUUUAUUAACCGCUUUUUUGAGAUACAGUUCAUGUACCUUAAAAUUUGCUGAUUUAAAGUGCACAUUUAUUUUCAAUAUAUAUGCAGUAAUAUGGUUUGAAUUGUGUGCCCUAAAAUUCAUAGGAUAAAGUGUUCACCUCCAGUAUUGCAGAAUGUUACCUCAUUUGGAGACAGGAUCUUUAUGGAAGUAUCUUCAAACAAGGUUAUUAGGAUGGGCCCUAAUUUAAUAAGAUCCGUGUCCUUUAAAAGGGGGAAAGUUGAAGACAUAUUGUAGGAAGGACGCUGUGUGCAGAUGAAGGCAGAGAUUGGGGAAUGCUUCUGCAAGCCAAGGAGAGCAAAGAUUGGCAGCAAAGCAACAGAAGCCAGUCACCCCUCGAUAUAUGCAGGGUAUUGGUUCCAGGAUCAACAGCAGACAUCAGAAGCAGCCCAUACUCAAGUCUCACAGUCAGCCCUGUGGAACCUAGCCGAGUAUGAAAAGCAGCCUUUUGUACACCUGUUUCUCCCAUCCCGAGAUCUGCAUUUGGUUGUGAAUGUGGAACCUGUGAAUACUUAGCACCAACUGUAUUUAUUGAAAACAUCAGCAUAUAGGUGGACCCGCCAAGUUUAAACCUAUGUUGUUCAAGGGUCAAUUGUAAAUGGAAUCAUACAGUGCAUUGGUUUUGUGACUGGCAUCUCUCACUUGGCAGGGCUUUUUCGUGGCUCAUCCACGUUAUAAAAUGUGUCAGAACUUCCUUCCUUUUUAGGGAUGAGAAUUACACAUACUACAUUUUGUUCUUCCAUUAGUCAGUGGGUAGACAUUGGGGUUGUUUACGCUUUUGGCUAUUGAGACUAAUGCUGCUGUAAACAUUCACAUAUAAAUUUUUGUGUGGACAUACGUUUUCAUUUCUCAUGGGUAUAUGCCUGAGAGGAGAAUUGUAAGUUCAUAUGUCAAAAAGUGUUAAACCAUUUGAAGAUUUUUCAGAGUGUUUUCCACAGUGACUGCAUCAUUUUACAUUCUCAUCACUAGUAUCUGAGGGCUGUGAUUACCACAUCUACUCACCAACACUUAUUAUUAUGUGAUUUUUUGAUUUUAGCUAUCCUAGUGGGUUUGAAAUAGUUUUCUUAUUGUGGUUUCAAUUUGCAUUUCCCUAAUGACUAAUGAUUUUGAACAUCUUUUCAUGUGCUUAUUGCUCUUUUGUAUGUCUUGUUUGAAGAAAUGCUUGUUCAUAUUCUUUGUCCAUUUUCAGUUGUGAUAUUUGUUUUUUAUGUUAUUAACUUAUAUUAGUUCUAUAUAAAUUCUAUGUACAAGUAUUAUAUCAGGUAUAUUAUUAGCAAUUACUUUCUCCCGUUCUGUGGGCCUUCUUUUCACUUCCUUUUUUCCUUAUUUAAAAGUAUUUCAUUCUCAAAUAAUGAUUGAAUCUAUUUAAGGUGUAUAACAUGAUGGUUUGAUAUAUGUAUAUAUUGUACGAUGCUUACCACAAUUAAAUUAUAUCACCACCCAUGCUGUACAGAGCCUCCCAGAACUUGCUGGUCUUAUAACUGAAAGUUUGUACCCUUUGACUAAUAUCUUCCCAUUUCUUCUACUCCCUGAACCCUGACAAUCACUAGUCUACUCUGCUUCCAAGAGGCCAACUUUUUAAGAUUCUACAUAUAAGUGAGAUCAUGUCGCGUUUGUCUUUUUUUGUCUGGGUUAUUUCACUUAGCUUAAUGUCCUUUAGGGUCAUACAUAUUGUUGCAAAUGGCAGCAUUUCCUUUUUUGUAGAUGAAUAAUAUUUCUUUGCAUAUAUGUACCACAAUUUCUUUAUCUAUUCAUCAAAUUAUGGACACAUAGAUUGUUUCCAUAUAUUGGUUAUUGUGAAUAAUGCUAUAAUGAACAUGGGGGUUACAACUAUCUCUUCAAGAUACUGAUUUCAUUUCCUUUAGAUAUAUACCCCAAAGUAGAAUUGAUAGAUCAUAUGGUAGUUCUAUUUUUAGUUUUAUGAGGAGUUCUGGACUGUUUUCCAUAAUGACUGCACCAAUUAACAUUCCCACCAAUAGUGUACAAAGGACAUCCUUUGUCCACAUGCUCACCAAAACAUUACCUCUUCUCUUUUUGAUAAUGAGAGGUGACAGCGUGCUGG